rnacentral:rRNA from 1 species
CCCUACGGGAGGCAGCAGUGAGGAAUAUUGGUCAAUGGCCGAGAGGCUGAACCAGCCAAGUCGCGUGAGGGAAGAAUGUCCUAAGGAUUGUAAACCUCUUUUGUCGGGGAGCAAAAAGGCUCUGCGGAGUCGUAUUGAGAGUACCCGAAGAAAAAGCAUCGGCUAACUCCGUGCCAGCAGCCGCGGUAAUACGGAGGAUGCGAGCGUUAUCCGGAUUUAUUGGGUUUAAAGGGUGCGUAGUCGGGCUGUUAAGUCAGCGGUCAAAUGUCGGGGCUCAACCCCGGCCUGCCGUUGAAACUGGCGGU